rnacentral:rRNA from 1 species
AGCGAACGCUGGCGGCAGGCCUAACACAUGCAAGUCGAACGAACCCUUCGGGGUUAGUGGCGGACGGGUGAGUAACACGUGGGAACGUGCCUUUAGGUUCGGAAUAACUCAGGGAAACUUGUGCUAAUACCGAAUGUGCCCUUCGGGGGAAAGAUUUAUCGCCUUUAGAACGGCCCGCGUUUGAUUAGCUAGUUGGUGAGGUAAUGGCUCACCAAGGCUACGAUCAGUAGCUGGUCUGAGAGGAUGACCAGCCACAUUGGGACUGAGACACGGCCCAAACUCCUACGGGAGGCAGCAGUGGGGAAUCUUGCGCAAUGGGCGAAAGCCUGACGCAGCCAUGCCGCGUGGAUGAUGAAGGUCUUAGGAUUGUAAAAUCCUUUCACCGGUGAAGAUAAUGACUGUAGCCGGAGAAGAAGCCCCGGCUAACUUCGUGCCAGCCGCCGCAGUAAGAC